GUAAACUUAAAUGUGGGUAGUUGGUAGUUGGAAGGUGUGUAGUUGGUAGUUGGAAGGUGGGUAGUUAGAAGUUGUUGUAUUAAUUGUGAGUUAGGUAGUAGUUAUAUUUAAUGAAUGUAGUUGAAGGGUAAUGUCCAAAGGCCUAUAAAAGGACCAUGUAGUGCUUCAUUU